AACAAAGUGGCCGAGAUUAGAGGCAGAAGACUGUAGCUCUUCCAACGGGAAGCCCCCUUUGUUA
rnacentral:tRNA from 1 species